UAAUUUGUUUGAGAUAAAUACUUAUUUAGUUAUGUUAAACUCACACCUGACUACUCAGAAUCACUCACUGUUGUGUGAACAAUAACUUUUAAAGAUUUUAAUUGGAGA
rfam:Populus trichocarpa isolate Nisqually-1 chromosome 2, whole genome shotgun sequence.